rnacentral:rRNA from 1 species
UGGGGAAUAUUGGACAAUGGGCGAAAGCCUGAUCCAGCCAUGCCGCGUGUGUGAAGAAGGUCUUCGGAUUGUAAAGCACUUUAAGUUGGGAGGAAGGGCAGUAAGCGAAUACCUUGCUGUUUUGACGUUACCGACAGAAUAAGCACCGGCUAACUCUGUGCCAGCAGCCGCGGUAAUACAGAGGGUGCAAGCGUUAAUCGGAAUUACUGGGCGUAAAGCGCGCGUAGGUGGUUCGUUAAGUUGAAUGUGAAAGCCCCGGGCUCAACCUGGGAACUGCAUCCAAAACUGGCGAGCGAGAGUAGGGCAGAGGGUGGUGGAAUUUCCUGUGUGGCGGUGAAAUGCGUAGAUAUAGGAAGGAACACCAGUGGCGAAGGCGACCACCUGGGCUCAUACUGACACUGAGGUGCGAAAGCGUGGGGAGCAAACAGG